CUUGAUCACAUGAUCGAGUCUGUCAGGGGAAGCUGAAGCUAAUACCACAUGGUCAGCAGACAGCUCCGGCCACCUCAGUCUUUCCUCCUUUUGAUGUGCCUUGGAAAGCUUUGCUUUUAUACAACAAUGAAUAUCUUCAGGAGAAUGAUGACAACAGUAAAGGACAUUGAACUUUC